AAUCAACACUCCACUCAGACAAUGCCCAGACCUCCAGAAACCAUGUGUCAAGCUCGGAUUGCCUUAGACAGAAGCUCACCCAGCUGGAACUCUUAUGGGACCUUGGCACCAGAGACCACAAAUUCCUCUUUGAAGUUUUCUAACAGCAACAAUGAGUUUCGCUCUGUCGCCCAGGCUGGAGUGCAGUGGCGCGCGAUCUCGGUUCACUGCAAGCUCCACCUCCCGGGUUCACGCCAUUCUCCUGCCUCAGCCUCCUGAGUAGCUGGGACUACAGGCGCCCGCCACCACACCCAGGAAAAACGGAGCCCGAGCAGCUAAGGAUCUUGCCCACGGUCACUGAAUUAGCAAUGCUUGUGAUGAACAUUCCCAAAGCUUUUAUGAGCUCUACGAUCUGGAAUAGGUCUCUUUGUGAUCUGUUCUCCUACUUGCUAAAUAUAUGAAAUAUUAAACUUCAUAAUCACAAA
rnacentral:lncRNA from 1 species